UAAUCACUGUUGCAUAAAAACAGUCUAUGAUCAUUUUAUCCUCAUUUUGGUUUUAGUAUCUUUGUUCAGUUGUGGAGACGUUUCCUUUGAUAACUGCUCCAGAUACUACUAUAUCACUGCCUGCCAUCCGGGAAUUAUGUUAUACUUUCUCAAAAUUAAGAAAAGGCACUGGGGAAUACUCUCCCACAUGGCUGUUACAACAUGUGAAGAAGGAAGGAGGGAAUGGAGGAGGAGGAAGAGGAAGAAGAGGAGGAAGAAAGAAAAUAAGAAUGAGCAAAGAAACAGGAGAGAUGAAGAAGAAAGCAUUAAACUAAAGAGUAUAUAAUGGAAACAAAUUAGAGAAAUAUUAAAAGGUCCAGAGUCAAAGAAAUAGAAAAAAAAUAAAUGAAGAAGAGAAUGGGUAGGUGAUGCUUAAUUUGUAAAGAAACUUUAACAAGGUUUAUUGUAAACAUUUGGAAUUGAUUAGAGGUCAUGGUAGCACAUUGCUGUAAGUAUAAUUAACAGCACUGAAUUAUGGAUGUGACUGUGGUUGAAAGGGGAAGUUUAGGGUCUUGUAUGUCACUAGAAGGAAAACUAGAGGAUAAAACAUGGGACUGUAUAGCAUAGUAAAACCUGUUGUGGACAAUGAUUGUGGGUAAUUGGACAUAAGAAUGUUCUCACAUGAACUGGAACAACUGUAUAUCACUAUUACACAGUAUUAACAUAGUGGGAUAUGGGAAAAUACAACUAAUGAAAACUAUAGACUAUAGUUAAUAGUAAUAUCAUAAUAUUCUUUCAUCAAUUGUAACAAAGGUACUAUACCAAUGCUAAAUGUCAAUAAUAGGGAAGUAUAAGGACUAUGGGAUUUUCCUUUUUGGAGCAAUGAGAAGGUUGUGGUGAUGAAUGCCCAACUCUGUGAUUAUACUGAGAGCCAUUGAUUGUAAAUUUUGGACUAUAUGGUAUGCAAAUAAAACUGUUUAAAAAUA